UACGUAGGUAGCGAGCGUUAUUCGGAUUUACUGGGCGUAAAGGGUCCGCAGGGGGUCUGCCAAGUCCGGCGUGAAAGCCCACGGCUCAACUGUGGAACGGCGCUGGAAACUGGCGGGCUGGAGUGCAUGAGGGGUGAGCAGAAUUCCUGGUGUAGCGGUGGAAUGCGCAGAUAUCAGGAGGAAUACCGAUGGCGAAGGCGGCUCACUGGCGUGCAACUGACCCUCAGGGACGAAAGCGUGGGGAGCAAACAGG
rnacentral:rRNA from 1 species